rnacentral:rRNA from 1 species
UACAGAGGUCUCAAGCGUUUGUUCGGAUUCAUUGGGCGUAAAGGGUGCGUAGGUGGCGGGGUAAGUCAGGUGUGAAAUCUCGGAGCUCAACUCCGAAACUGCACUUGAUACUGCCUUGCUCGAGUACUGGAGAGGAGAUUGGAAUUUACGGUGUAGCAGUGAAAUGCGUAGAUAUCGUAAGGAAGACCAGUGGCGAAAUGGCGAAUCUCUGGACAGUUACUGACACUGAGGCACGAAGGCCAGGGGAGCAAACGGG